GUUAUAUCUAUCACUCUGCGCUAAGCUACCAGCGGAGCUAACCGAUAGAUUAGACUCUUGCCGUAUCUGGUCGGUAAAACAGCAAAAACGUCCUUCUUGCAAAGGAAAGCUUUGAGCGCUGUCUUCUGUUCCUCUUUUAGAGGAAAAGCCAAGUCUGACAUGUCCACACGUAGCCAUCUUGCGAUGUUUACUGACAGAUUCGUAGCAGCUCUGUCGUCAUCUGUUUAGCUCGCUUCUUGCCCUCCUAUAUCAGAUACACUGAUGUGAUUGGUUAAUGUUUGGAUCCAGGGGAAACGGGGAACGUUGGUGUAAUCCAUUUGUAUGGUACGCCGGUGCGUACAACCGGUUCUAGCGAGAACGUGACGUACUUUCCUGUUUUGCAGCACUUAUAGCAUUCCCGUUUCCCAUUGGCUAGUCAUUGUUUUGUUAGCUACAUUAGCCUCUUUAGCAAACCAGCUCGAAAACACAACUUGACUUUGUAUUGCGCAAACAGCUAGACCGUGCAAUGCAUACAUUGACUUCACAGGUGGGCAUGUCCACCUAGUACACAUCUAGGUGGACACGCCCACCUGUGAGGUCAUAAGGGACAGAUUUCCAGAACGGCUUGAAAAACGGCUAAUCAACCCACACGUGAUGGCAUGUCAUGGGACCUUUAAGAGAAUAGCGAUUCCAGCAGCUGUGGGAUUUUAGUGUUGAGGGUAAACAUGCUUGUACUAAUUGUACAGCCAUUUAUAAGUAACUUACUUAUUAACUUACUGUUACCAUCUAAAAUGCAGUUUCGCAGUUUGCAGAUGAUUAUCUCCGGUACGGAGACAUCAGUGAUGUCGAGACAUUUCCACGGGCUGUUCAUCAGGCACGGUUGCAUGUUGCUACUGAGCUGCUUCAGUGUAAGGUCAGUGGCAUCAAACACUGCACGAGAGCAGUGCCAUCAAAAUAGUUUCGUAGUCAAAAUCCAUACAAAUUCCCUCCCCUCAGUCACAUAAGGUGAUCAGUCUAUCAGUCAGGGUAAUGUACUAUAAACUUUAAUACUUUUUCAAAGAGCCCAUGCCAUUAAAAUCACAUUUUUCCUAUUGUUUGUUAAAUAACAUAGGUCUGAAUAAGUUUGUGAGCUGUGGUAAGUUUGAAAUCUAUGCAGUUUGUCUGCUGAAUGCAAUAGGCAAUGAAAGGAAAAAGGCAGAAGAAAUGAGCCGAUCUGGAUAAGGUGACACUGUGACGUAGCGUUGUCAAAUUAUUAUUCAUGGCCCUGCCCACUUGGUUGGUUCGUAACCACCCACAAGAAUUCUGAAGGAGUCGUGAUUGAGCUAGUGCUAAAUGCUAAUACGUGUACGGUAGUUGCUUAGUUCGUAGUAACAGGCUAGUUACAGAAUUGUGAAUGCAAUGGCAGAACGACAGUACAUGAACAUGUACAUGAAGUACAUGAACUGCGACAUGCUGCCUGCCGCCGGUUGCCGCGAGGCACCACCGCCGCGAAGCACCACCGCCCGGCAGCGGGCAGCCGGGCGGUGGUGCCUCGCGCCCGCAGCAGGCAGCGCGCGGUUCUGUCUACUACAGAUUGAUGUGGAAGUGGAAGAACCAGAGACGUCGGAGAACCCGACGAAGUCCUUUGUGAUUCAUUAUAUCGUCUGGACGUGCACACAGCUUUUGGCCGUGAUAAUAUGUAUUAUUUGAUAUAGAUAUCUAUGUAUUAUAUGAUAUUAUUUAGAUAUAGAGCUCCAGGACUGUAACGCAAGUGUUGUACACUUCCUUGUUAUUUGGAUAACCGUUCUGCUGUUGGUGUGAUGGCGCAUAACACGUCGGACUCUCGUCUCUGGUAUUUCUACAACGAGACUCGUAGUGGGGGUUAUCUCAGCCAUGGUUGAGAAUGAAUUGGGGGAAAGGAACUUUGGCUUUGACUCCCUGAAGUAGGCAUGUACCACGACAUGGAGGAGAAAGGGAUUGUUCACCGCGGUCGUCUCCCGCCGGAGCCUCGCUGCCGAUGGACCACCGCCUCGGCUUCAGGAGGCGGUGAUUAGCGCUGACCGCUGCCGAGGCGGCGGGAAGCAGGGCUCAAGCGGGAUACAUUCGCGGCCAACAAUCCCCUUCUCCUCCAUGUCGUGGUUCAUGUACUUCAGGGAGUCAAAGCCAAAGUUCCUUUCCCCCAAUUCAUUCUCAACCAUGGCUGAGAUAACCCCCACUACGAGUCUCGUUGUAGAAAUACCAGAGACGAGAGUCCGACGUGUUAUGCGCCAUCACACCAACAGCAGAACGGUUAUCCAAAUAACAAGGAAGUAUACAACACUUGCGUUACAGUCCUGGGGCUCUACAUCUAAAUAAUAUCAUAUAAUACAUAGAUAUCUAUAUCAAAUAAUACAUAUUAUCACGGCCAAAAGCUGUGUGCACCUCCAGACGAUAUAAUGAAUCACAAAGGACUUCGUCGGGUUCUCCGACGUCUCUGGUUCUUCCACUUCCACAUCAAUCUGAAGAAGACGCGGUCGUUUGAGAUUCAUAAUAGCCUAUCGUCUGGAGGCUCACACAGCUUUUGGCCGUGAUAAUAUAUAUUAUAUGAUAUAGAUAUCUAUGUAUAAUAUGGGUUUCUAAGAGCCAUUGCGAUACAUCCACCGUAAACAGAGCGCAUGGUACCGUGGCUACAAGCUGCUCAGGGCCAGGUGAUAAUAUAUAUUAUAUUAUAUUAUAUAGAUAUCUAUGUAUAAUAUGGGUUUCUACGAGCCAUUGCGAUACAUCCACCGUAAACAGAGCGCAUGGUACUGUGGCUACAAGCUGCUCAGGGCCACACCCCCACCCCCCUCCUUGACCUGCCUUGACACGCCCACCGUAACCAGAGCGAAUGGUACUGUGGCUACAAGCUGCUCAGGGCCACACCCCCACCCCCCUCCUUGACCUGCCUUGACACGCCCACCGAAACAGCGCGUUUGGGGGAAGCUCAAUGUGCGACUGGUUCGGAGUGGCUGUAACUCUGCACCACGGCUGAAUUUCGGGGACGUCUUUGAAUACUGUGUUUGUGGCCCACUAAUACCUAUAUUAAAGCAUCCAUAAAAUAGCAUGGCAUGGGAUCUUUAAACAUAACUAUUUAUUACACUUUUAAUUUAGUCAUUUGUUCAGUGCUGAAAACAUAAUGCUUUUAGUGUCUUUAUAGCAUAAACAAUAGGGAGGUAUUUGUGACACAUGUAUAUAUUUAAGUAUACUAUGUGUGUGGAUACUUUUUUGAAAUGUAUUUUCUAUUUUAUUCACAAAUUAUACAUUAUAGUGUACCAUGAUUUAUUUACUCACAGAAUGAUUGGAGUUUUAAAAGCUUAUGAAAACCUUUGUUUCUAGGGAAUGCAGAGGACUUCUGUGUGGUGUGCUCCUUUGCCGAAGAAAAUGCAGAUGAGAGCAUGAUUGAAAAGGUGCAGUGUGGAUUGUGCAGUCGGUGGGCAAAUUUUGAGUGUGCCCAAUAUGCCCAUGAAAAUAAGGCUGUAUAUAUUUGCAAGAAAUGCCUUAAAAUAAAAUAAAGAUUUGAGAUCUUU